rnacentral:rRNA from 1 species
CGCUGGCGGCGUGCCUAAUACAUGCAAGUCGAGCGGAAUGAUGAAGAAGCUUGCUUCUUCUGAUUUUUAGCGGCGGACGGGUGAGUAACACGUGGGCAACCUACCUUGUAGAUUGGGAUAACUCCGGGAAACCGGGGCUAAUACCGAAUAAUCCAUUUUGCUUCAUGGCGAGAUGUUAAAAGGCGGCUUCGGCUGUCACUACGAGAUGGGCCCGCGGCGCAUUAGCUAGUUGGUAGGGUAAUGGCCUACCAAGGCGACGAUGCGUAGCCGACCUGAGAGGGUGAUCGGCCACACUGGGACUGAGACACGGCCCAGACUCCUACGGGAGGCAGCAGUAGGGAAUCUUCCACAAUGGACGAAAGUCUGAUGGAGCAACGCCGCGUGAGUGAAGAAGGUUUUCGGAUCGUAAAACUCUGUUGUAAGGGAAGAACACGUACGAGAGUAACUGCUCGUACCUUGACGGUACCUUAUUAGAAAGCCACGGCUAACUACGUG